ACAAACAAAUCUCUAAAUUAAAUAAAGACAGAAGACUUUACAAGUGGGAAAAUUAACUAUUCACAAUAAUUUCUAGGUCCACUUUGUUGUAAAAUAAAUGGAGUUUAUGUACGGAUCGAAAAAGCUCACUUAUCGUCGGAUUUAGAGCCGACGGAGAUGAACAAGACGACUGAAAAAAAAGUAAAAAAAGAGAGAAUUCGAGAGAAAGUAUAAAUUUGAAUAAUUUAUUGUGCAAAAUACGAUAGCAAAAUCAGAUAUCAUAUCAUAACAAAAUCUUGA
rnacentral:lncRNA from 1 species